AACCCAAACAUCUCUUUUUGAGUUAUUUAUAAAGUUUGACCUGCCCGCUGAUUAAUUGAAUGGCCGCAGUAUUUUGACUGUGCAAAGGUAGCAUAAUCAUUAGUUUUUUAAUUGAAGGCUGGAAUGAAUGGUUGGACGAAAUAAUGACUGUUUCAUAUAAAUUUAGAUUAGAAAUUUAUUUUUUAGUUAAAAAGCUAAGAUUUAAUUAAAAGACGAGAAGACCCUAUAAAUCUUUAUAUUAAGUUGAUGAAUAAUAUUUAGAAAUUUAUGUUAUUUAUUAAUAAAAAUAUUUUAUUGGGGUGAUAUUAAAAUUUAAUAAACUUUUAAUUAUUUAUUACAUUAAUUUAUGAUUAAUUGAUCUAAUAUUAUUAAUUAAUAGAAUAAGUUACUUUAGGGAUAACAGCGUAAUUUUUUUGAAGAGUUCAUAUCGAUAAAAAAGAUUGCGACCUCGAUGUUGGAUUAAGAAAUAUAUUUAGGUGUAGAAGCUUAAAAUUUAAGUCUGUUCGACUUUUAAUUUCUUCGGG
rnacentral:rRNA from 1 species